rnacentral:lncRNA from 1 species
CCCAAGUGGUGCUGUGCUGGUAAAUGUUUAACAACUGGCUCUUGGUUGGGGCAGUGUGACGUGCAGCAUUCCCCAGUUUCCACAGUGUGAAUACUCCCCCUACGUUGCCAACACAAGGUCGCUGGUGCAGAGCUGGGAGGAGAUGCACACAGUUGGCUCUGCUAGCUGAGCAGGGUGAAGCCGGCACCAGGACACCAUUGACUAAGGGCCAUGGAGACCCAAGAGGCAGCUGUUGUAGGAGAGGGCCAGGGCCAGGUAUGUUUUAGGUGUCUCAGGAAAACCUCCUGCUCCAAGCGGGUGGAUGGGGAGAGAGCAGUGCUGCGGUGCAGGAGAAGAUAGUUCUGGAAGCACCACCUGCCAUGGGCCUACUUCACAACAGGCACUGUGUUCAGUGUGCCAGACACCACCUCAGCCAGUUCUCACAGCUGACAGAAGCAGGGCUCAAUCACCAUCGACACGGUUUCCAGUUCUCCACUUCCUCCCAGUUCCUUGAUGUGUCAAUCCAGAUAUCUGGCAUAUGCAACUUCCUCCUGGUGAACACCUCCAUAUGGAACAUCCAGAUACAACCUUCUUGACUCAUCCCACUGACUCACCCCACAUGGACCGUGCAGAUAUGCCACAGUAGCCACCUCUCAGUCACAGCAUGACUUCUGGAACUUGUGCCUGCUUGCUUCAAACCCACCGAUUAAAACUUCCUGCAGGAAAUCUGUAUAGAGAAUGCCCUAGACUCCAAUAAAGGCAAGGGUCCUUCUGUCUCUCUCCCUCACAUGCUCCCUGACUUCUGUGUGUGUGGCCUCUGGGCAUGCCGUGUACCCUCAGGACCUACUGGAAACACUCUUUUUGUAGAAUCUGCGAAGGGACAUUUUGGAGCCCAUUGAAGCCUAUAGUGAAAAACCGAAUAUUCUACGAUAGAAACCAUGGAGGCCUAUAGUGAAAAACUGAAUAUCCCAUGAUAAAAAACAGAAAGAAGCUAUCUGCGAAACCACUUUGCGAUGUGUGGAUUCAUCUCACAGAGUUAAACCUUUCUUCUGAUUCAGCAGACUGGAAACACUCUUUUUGUAGAAUCUGUGAGGGGACAUUUCGGAGCCCAUUGAGGCCUAUAGUGAAAAACCGAAUAUCCUGAGAUAAAAACUAGAAAGAAGCUAUCUGUGAGACCGCUUUGCGAUGUAUGAAUUCAUCUCACAGAGUUAAACCUUUCUUCUGAUUCAGCAGACUGGAAACACUCUUUUUGUAGAAUCUGUGACGGGACAUUUCGGAGCCCAUUGAGACCUGUAGUGAAAAACCGAAUAUCCCACAAUAAAAACUAGAAAGAAGUUAUCUGUGAAACCGCUUUGCGAUGUUUGUUUUUAAAAUCCUCCUCUUCCCACUAGAAUGUAAGCUUCAGAAGAACAGGCUAUUCAUUCUGCCCACUGUGUGCACCCAGCCUGGAACGGUGCCCAGAGUGGGUUAGUGUGCGGUGUGCACGUACUGACCUGGUGGUGAUGAAGGGCGCAGGAAGGACACGCGACCUGAUCUUUAUCCUAAGGAGCCCACACUGGAACAGGAUUAGAUUGAAGGUAG